AAAUUGAAGAGUUUGAUCAUGGCUCAGAUUGAACGCUGGCGGCAGGCCUAACACAUGCAAGUCGAGCGGAAACGAGUUAUCUGAACCUUCGGGGGACGAUAACGGCGUCGAGCGGCGGACGGGUGAGUAAUGCCUAGGAAAUUGCCCUGAUGUGGGGGAUAACCAUUGGAAACGAUGGCUAAUACCGCAUGAUGCCUUCGGGUCAAAGAGGGGGACC
rnacentral:rRNA from 1 species